rnacentral:rRNA from 1 species
AUUGAACGCUGGCGGCAGGCCUAACACAUGCAAGUCGAGCGAGCGGCGGACGGGUGAGUAAUGUAUGGGGAUGUGCCCGAUAGAUGGGGAUAACUACUGGAAACGGUGGCUAAUACCGCCUACUAUCGGAUGAACCCAUAUGGGAUUAGCUAGUGGGUGGGGUAAAGGCUCACCAAGGCGACGAUCUCUAGCUGGUCUGAGAGGAGGAUCUGGCAAACUGGGACUGAGACAAGGCGCAGACUACUACGCGCGUCAGCAGUGGGGCAUAUUGCACAAUGGGCGAAAGCCGGAUGCAGCCAUGCCGCGUGUGUGAAGAAGGCCUUAAGGUUGUAAAGCACUUUCAGCGGUGAGGCGUUACCCGCAGAAGAAGCACCGGCUAAUUCCGUGCCAGCAGCCGCGGUAAUAC